GCGGGUGUAGUUUAAUGGUAAAACACGACCCUUCCAAGGUUGAAUCGACGGUUCGAUUCCGUUCACCCGCUCCA
rnacentral:tRNA from 1 species